rnacentral:tRNA from 1 species
GGACUCAUAGCUCAGCGGUUAGAGCGUCUCUCUCAUAAAGAGCAGGUCGCAGGUUCAAAUCCUGCUGAGUCCA